CCAUUUUAUAGGGCCCUAAAAGCUACUCAAGAAACUAACAAGGUCCAUUAGACUUUCUGUCAUGCAUAUGAUGGGAAAAAAUAUACCACCAUAAGAUCCACUCAAUUGUCCUGCUGCGACAGCAGUAGCUAUUGUGUGUGAGAGGUUUUUGGAAGGUGGCUCCACCUUGGUGUUUAUGCUCUGCUGGCUAGUGGGAGUUUCAGGUAAGCCACCAUAACAGAAGGGGCUUUGUGAUAGGCUAUCAGUGACAAACAGGAACGACAACAUGCAGCCCAGGGGUUUGACAAGGAGGAGAAGCUCAACAAAGGAAGAAUGACCUGCUUCAGUUUCCCAUUUCAGUCUAACAUUUACUUUCUCACACAAAGCUUAGCUUGGUGUGUUGGUGUCCAAAUCACAUUCAAACCUUGUACAGAGUGACAGGAGUCAAGCUGAGAUACUUUAAGUGGAUUUCUUUUCUUUCUACCUUGCUUUGAACUUCUUUUAAACCUACAGAUGUUUGGCAGAGCCGUCCAUACUAAGAACCUCAGAUGAGUUCUCAAAUUAGUUUUACUGAUUUUUUUUCUCCAGUCUCUCAGAUCUUACUCCUCAGAACUUGCUCUGUCGUCAUACACGAAAAUUAAUGAAUUCAUUUUCUUCUCAAUCAUAAGCCAAAUCUUCAUGGGAAUCUUGCACUUUUUUCACUCCAACUGCUGCUAUUCUUUAUUCAACAUUGCAGAGAGAAUUGACUUUGAUAUCAUGUCUGUGCCUAAUAAUGAAUGCAUUUAAAUAAAGUGCUACCAUGAAUUUAUACAUAGAUAAUUAUCCUAUGUGCAUUAUAUCUUCUUUUCUUCAUCCAUUCAUGCUUACAUUUGAUUUGUUGCAUUUCCAUUAAGCCAAAUAAAUUGAAUCCUUUUAAAAAGAUGGAGUCCCGUGGCGGGCGCCUGUAGCCCCAGCUACUCGGGAGGCUGAGGCGGGAGAAUGGCGUGAAUCCCGGAGGGCGGAGCCUGUAGUGAGCCGAGAUCGCGCCACUGCACUCCAGCCUGGGCGACAGCGAGACU
rnacentral:lncRNA from 1 species